rnacentral:sRNA from 1 species
UUUAGCCCUGAUUGAAGUGGCAUCCUUUUUUUCUGUUAGUUCGAGUGAAUUUUGAAGAAUGAAAAAUCAGUACCUGCCUGGCGGCAGACAGGUUGAGAACAGAAGUGAAAAAGAUACAACGAAAAGCAGGAAAUAG